UUCCAUUUGAGCCCUAAAUAGAAAGGUCGUAUCGCCAUUUCUGUUCCCAUCAAAAACCGAUCAGUGUUCUCUCUCUAUCCCGUUUACAAGUUUUUGUCCCACUUAGACUUUAGGUCAAAAUGCUAACUUUCUCCAUUUGAGUUCUUCAGAUCGUUACUCGUAAUUGCUUUGCCAAAACUGUUCUCCAAUCCCAAAUCGCAAAACAUUGGCUUAUAUUUUUUUACGCCAACGAUUUUGCUUCUAAUUUGUUACCAAAACCAAAACCCCUCAAUUCUCUCCUCUUUGCUUGUGAUCCAUCCUGAAAUUUCAAGCUAUUGUUGUGUAUAUUUUUUGUUUAUUUUCCUAUCGAUUGAGAAUUUUAGGCUUUUAGAUCGGCGGCUAGUUGAUUGAUUAGUUUUUAGUUAGGGUUGUGGAGAUUCUUCGGUAGAGUUGGAAAUGAAUAACAACUACGCACGAGGAGGUGGGGGAAGGUAUCCGCCGGGAAUUGGGCGUGGUGGUGGUGGGAAUUAUCAUGGAAACCCUAAUCCUAAUUUCCAGCAACAGUAUGCUCAAAGGAAUCCAGCGCACCACCAGCAGUUUCAACAGCAGCAGCAGCAGCAGCAACAACAACAAUGGCUGAGAAGAAACCCUGUGGGAAAUGAUUCGAGUGUGGUUGACGAAGUGGAAAAGACUAUACAGUCCGAAGCUGCUGACCCUAGUGGUCAAGAUUGGAAGGCACAAUUGAGGCUUCCACCAGCUGACACUCGAUACAGAACAGAAGAUGUGACAGCGACCAAAGGAAAUGAAUUUGAAGAUUACUUUCUCAAGCGUGAGUUGCUUAUGGGGAUAUAUGAGAAGGGUUUUGAAAGGCCAUCUCCAAUUCAAGAAGAAAGCAUCCCAAUUGCCCUCACAGGAAGUGAUAUUCUUGCAAGAGCUAAAAAUGGAACAGGGAAAACUGCUGCCUUCUGCAUUCCUGCUUUAGAAAAAAUUGAUCAAGAGAGCAAUGUUAUUCAAGUGGUUAUACUUGUUCCAACUAGAGAAUUGGCUCUUCAAACAUCUCAAGUCUGCAAAGAACUUGGAAAACACCUAAACAUUCAGGUCAUGGUUACUACUGGUGGAACCAGCUUAAAAGAUGACAUCAUGCGAUUGUAUCAGCCUGUUCAUUUACUUGUUGGUACUCCUGGAAGAAUAUUAGAUCUUUCAAAGAAGGGAAUCUGCGUGUUGAAAGAUUGUGCAAUGCUUGUCAUGGAUGAGGCUGAUAAGCUUUUGUCACCUGAGUUCCAGCCUUCAGUAGAGCAACUAAUCCACUUCAUGCCUACAAACCGUCAAAUUUUAAUGUUUUCAGCAACUUUUCCUGUGACAGUGAAGGAUUUCAAAGAUAGAUACCUUCCAAAAUCUUAUGUUAUCAACCUCAUGGACGAACUUACCCUCAAGGGAAUAACACAGUUCUAUGCUUUUGUUGAAGAAAGGCAGAAAGUUCAUUGCCUCAAUACUCUUUUCUCAAAGCUUCAAAUCAACCAAUCAAUAAUUUUCUGCAACUCGGUAAAUCGGGUUGAACUACUGGCGAAGAAAAUAACUGAGCUUGGUUACUCUUGUUUCUACAUUCAUGCAAAGAUGCUUCAAGAUCAUCGUAAUCGAGUUUUUCAUGAUUUUCGUAAUGGUGCUUGCAGGAAUCUUGUCUGUACUGAUUUAUUCACGAGGGGUAUUGAUAUUCAAGCAGUAAACGUCGUUAUCAAUUUUGACUUCCCGAAAAACUCAGAAACAUAUCUCCACAGGGUUGGUCGAUCAGGAAGGUUUGGACACCUUGGGUUAGCUGUAAACCUAAUCACAUAUGAAGAUCGCUUUAAUCUGUAUAGGAUUGAACAAGAACUUGGAACUGAGAUAAAACAGAUCCCUCCAUUCAUUGAUCAAGCUAUUUAUUGUCGCUGAAAGAUUGUUGGGGAAGGUGUGAGCUGUCUCUCUGUCUGUUUAAGGAAAGGACCCAAAGGCAUACAUAAACCCUUACAACGCAUAUGAAUGUCUUUGAGACUUUGACUAGUUCUUUGGCUGAUGUGCUGCACAUGCUCUAGAUUUAUCAAAAAUAAUGGAAAUUUGUCUAUAUGUGUAAUCUCAUACUACUCUAUCCAAAAGUUUAGAGUGUUCGUCAUGCACUAGCUGCCUAGAACAUAUACAAUAGACACUUAAAGUGCGUCUUCAUCGGAUAACUCAUUAAACAUGUUAUUGAAGACAUGCUGCAAGUCAUCAACUUUAACUGUCUCUUACACCAAGACUAAUGGAAAUGCAUGAUUUUUCUCAACUGUAUGGACGAUAAAUGAGCCACGAAAUACUCCCCAAAGCGGAAACAUGUUACAAGGCAAAAAGUUCUCUUAUCAAAAGAGUGAUGAUAGUCGUCUAUCGGAAAUAGCAACUCCUCAACAUCAGACAAUGUAUGUGCCAUUACCUCCUCACAGAACAAGUAAUGAUAUAAUAAUGGGCAACCUUCUACACCCAUCGGUACAAUAACCACCGACCAAACAAGAUGUCCUGAAAAAUGUCGCGUGUGUCGGGGUAGGCAACAAUCUAGCCAUAGAUUUCAAACCCAAUUUAGGUUACAUGUUGUAGUGAGAAACGCAACGUAAUUAUUGUCAUGCUGCAAAAUUUUCAAAAUUAGGAUACUUUUCCAAACAAGAGUUUUAUGUGUUC